rnacentral:rRNA from 1 species
UACGAAGGGGGCUAGCGUUGUUCGGAGUUACUGGGCGUAAAGGGUGCGUAGGCGGCUUUUUAAGUUUGGUGUGAAAUCUCCCGGCUCAACUGGGAGGGUGCGCCGAAUACUGAGAGGCUAGAGUGUGGGAGAGGAGACUGGAAUUCAUGGUGUAGCAGUGAAAUGCGUAGAGAUCAUGAGGAAGACCAGUGGCGAAGGCGGGUCUCUGGACAGUUCCUGACACUGAGACACGAAGGCCAGGGGAGCAAACGGG